rnacentral:lncRNA from 1 species
GGAGUGGUUUGAGAUGAAUGAAGGAGGAAUUCCUCAUUCAUGUUUCGAGUUUAUAUAAGAAAACAACAUUCCUCGUAAAGUCGUCGUAAUUUUACGAGGAAUCUACCAGGCCCGUGUUUUUAGUGUUACAAGGAAUCUACCAGAUCCGCGUUUUUAGAAUUACAACGAAUUUACAAGGAAUAUUUACGACGAAUUUACAAGGAAAAUUUUACGACGACUUUACAAGGAAAACUUUACAAUGAAAUUACAAGGAAAGCAUUACAACGAAUUUACA